GAUACUGCACAGAUGUCAGCACCAUUUCACGGUCGAUUUCCACUGUAAGUCCAGAUAUAAUUACUGGAUCCAGCAUUACCUUGAAUUAUGACCCGUGC